GAAUGAGGAAGGGCAGGAGGAAGAGGAGGGAGAGGAAGCUAAGGGAGGGGAAGGGGGUGCUCCAUGGCAGGGCUGACCAGCUCUGGAGGCCUGGGUCCUCCUGGAGUGACUGAUGUGGGAGGUGGCAGGUCUGGGGAGGGCUGCCGUGGAAGCCCCGGGUGCCCAGGGAGGUCCCGCAGCUCUGCCCACCCCUGACGACCUGGGCUGGGUGCCCCAAGCCUCUGCUGCCCCCCAAGGGCUCUGUAGAGAACUGCAGCCCAAGCCCCAGGGCAGCACCCCAUGCCCAGGUCCUCGCUGGGGGAAGGGGACAGGGGGCCCCCAGAGAACAGGAGGCUGGCCUGGAGGUCCCCUGAAGGCCCACAAGGCCAUCCUGGGGCUUCCCAUGGCCCCUACCCUGUCCUUCCCCUGGGGGUUCUUUGGUGGGUCUGGGCCCCAGGAAUGGGUCAGAACGGCGGCCACGCAUCGGGGCCCAGCAGAGACCCCAGGAGCCCUGGGACCCCAACCCUGACAGAAACCCUCACCCGCAGCUCUGCCCAGAGAGCAGAUGGCGCCCGGCCCCCUUCCCCUGGCCACGCAGGUGCAACCUGAGGGCAGACACUCAGCCGUGUGCAGCGCCUCCAGGGAGCUCACAUGUGACCUGGGCAGCGCUCAGAGCACCUACUCGUGGGCCAGGCAAGGGCAGGUGCCACGGGGACCCGGGAGGACCCCAGGCUGACUGGGAGAAGCCAGACCCCACCUGCAGUCAAAAACACCACCCGAGCCACCCCAAGGAGAGCAUCCGCCGCCAGGCUAGCCAGUGGCACCCCUGCCCCAUCUCCCCUGCGUCCCUCUGUGGCUGGGGGUGGAAGGGGAAGUGGCAGGCAAGGCUCGAGGGUCCCAGGCGGGUGGGAGGGCGAAGGGAGAGCUGGUCUGGGUGCCUGCACUGAGCCCAGCGCCCAGGAUGCAGUCCCAGUGUCCCCUAAGACCCCUCCCACCCCCUUUCCCAUCUACAAAGCUCUGCACACAUCGCCCAGGUGAGCAGAUGAAGCCUAUUCAAGAAGAAAUCAAAAACCUCACAAGGCCACCGAGGGUCAGGAGGAGCGGGGUUGGGGGGGGGUGGGGGCGGGGAGCUGGGCUUGCUUCUGUUGCCAAGUUCAAGAUUCACACUGGGUUGCCCAGACGCAGUCAGGGGCCCGGGCAAGGCACAGUGUCAGAGCUCAGUCGGGGAGGGUCCUUCAACACCCCAGUCGGGGUGUUCUGGGACCCUGUCUCCAAAGUCCAGCCCCUCCCCACGGGAGCUCCAAUUAGAUACUCAGGUGUGGUGUCAAAGUGUCCGCUGGCAAGGCCCCUGGGCUGGCAAAGUGAGACCCAGAGGCAAGCCCACUGCUGCCCACCACAACCAUCCAGCCCAGCCGGGCCCUGACAUACCUGGGCUGGCCACAGGAAAGAGACCAGGCGGUGCUCAGGGUCCCUGAAGGCUGACCAGUGGGCAGGCAGGUGGUGGGUGCGACCAAGGAAGCCCCAAGCUCUGCAAAAGGAAAGAUGGGCAGAGUGGAGCCCUGGCUUCCACCCUCAGCUGUACAGCCAGAGAUGCUCCCAGAGAAGGGCAGGGAACCCCCACCUGGGGCCAGGUCCCUACAGGGCAGAGGGGCAGUCGGGGUGGGCAGGGGAUACACCACCAGACUCGGAGAAGAAGACCACUGAGGAGUAGCCCCAACCAGGAAAGCUCUGAAUCAAUGACUGAGUCACCAAAUUCUGCUCCUUCAGGGCUCUGAGACAGCCAGGCAGGGACACAGACUCACACUCACAGAGACACGGUGUGCAGAGAACACAUGUUCAAAGACGUACU
rnacentral:lncRNA from 1 species